AAGAUCCGAAGAACAGGCCAGCGCACUCCACACAGUGGCGGUACGCCAUAUACUUCUCCAACCACCUCCUGGUGCAUUUUCUCCGUCAUUAUGGCGGUGGAACCAACCAGCUACCGCAGCCUGAACGACUUCUCCGACCACCUCCUCCUCCACAUCCUCUCCUUCCUCCCCGCCCUCGACGCCCUCCGCACCGCCCCCGUCUGCCGCAAAUGGCAAACCCUCCUCCCCUCUCUCCCCUCCCUCAACUUCGACUACUCCCUCUUCCCCCCCUCCGCCUCCCCCUCCGAUACCCGCCGCCGCUUCGCCGACUUCGUCGACCUCUUCCUCCUCCGCCGCCCCCCCACCUCCCCCCUCCUCAACCUCCGCUUCCAGUUCGACUUCGGCGACUACCUCCACUCCUCCCAAAUCGACUCCUGGAUCCACCACGCCGUCAAUCACGGCGUCACCGAAAUCGACGCCGACUUCUUCAUCCACCGCGACUACCAAGUCUUCGACCAAGCCGACGGCGGCUACAGCUACAACGAAUGUUACUUCACGUUCUACUUCAAUUCCAUCAAAAACAGCCGCGUGAGGGUUUUGAAACUCUCUCGUUGCGAGCUGAUUUUACCUCUCGGUUUCUCUACUAUCUCGUCGUUUAAGUUCGUACAGUCGUUGUACCUGGAUCAGAUAUACCUGAACGACGAGAUGGUCUCGGAUUUGAUCUCGGGGUGUCCGAAUUUGGAGAGUUUGGUUCUCGAGUACUGUUGCGAUAUGAAGGAGUUGAGGAUUCGUUCGACGAGGCUGAAGCGGUUGUCGCUGUUGUAUUUCCAUUCGCAGGACGAAGAGGAGGAGUCGGUGGAGGUAUGCGCUCUGAAUCUGCGGUCGUUUCGUAUCGUUUGUUUCGAGAUGGGGAUGUAUUCGAUGGAAGGAACGACGGGUUUGGAUGAAGCGUACGUGGAGUUUAUGCACGAGGAGAGGCAUUAUAAGUACUGGAGCAAGGUUGUGAGGUUGCUCAGUGGCGUCAAGCAUCUCGUUGUGGAAAAUUGGUGGAUUAGAGGUGCCUGCAACAAGGCCCAAACCAUUGGGGAGGAACUGAUGUGGGACUCUAUUCUUCCCAGAUGUCCCAACUUUUGGUACACACAUCUUAUCUUUUGUGGUUUAUAUUCAUACCAAUUGCGCACUGUGGAACUUCUUUGCCCCAAAAAUCCUGCCUUCCUAUAUUUAUGUGGCUGAAUUUGUUGAUUCUGGAGUGGUUGACACGAUACAUUGUCCUCAUUUUAUUUUAAAUUACCAACUCCCUAGAAGAUAUGAUUUGUCCAGCAAAAACACUCACACUUAGUGCUAGUUACAAUAAAGUUGAACUACAAGUAAAUAUCUGAGGCAAACUACGAGUACAAAUCAAAGAGGUGAUAUUCCACAUAGAGUUCUGUUGAAGGAGGACGUGGAGGUGGGGAGGUGGAGGAGAGAAUACCACUUGUUGUUGUCAUAGUCAAUAUACAUGUAAUCGUAGAUGCUCACAUGGCAUAUUAUUACAUGUAUAACCAUGUGCUUUGCUAGGAUGUGUAGGGUUUUCUGUAACUAGUGAAAAGGUGGUUUCUGAUAGAUCUCCGGUAAGAAGUAAGAACUAUCAAAUUGGUGUCUGGCAACUACUUACCCAAAGCAAGUUAAAUGGAGAACCAAUAAGUCCUUUCACAUUACAUGUUCCACAUAAACUCUCCAAUUUUGAAUAAGCUUCGCUAUCAUCCUCUUGAAAUAUAAAGGUCUCAAUUUGCUUUAUGUCAUUCUUUAUCAUUUAGAACUGUUGCUCAUACUAUUUAAAUAUUGCAUAAUCCUUUCUCAUGUUUGUUAUUUUAAGCUUCACUCAUCAAUGGAGAUCUCUUCUGAGGAUCUUGUAUUCAACAACCUCACUUCCGUGGAGCUGCGAACUGGCUAUACAACAUAUGAUCUACUAGGAGAGCUUAUCAGAGGAGAUUCUUAACAGACCUAUUAAAUUCAGCAUG